rnacentral:ncRNA from 1 species
GACGUGCGCUUCUGGGAAUCUACAGGUGCCAAAUAUGAGCACAACUUGAGGAGAGGAUGGUUUUCUACGAGGUGUCCGUGAUCUGGUUUAUUUUAUUUAGUGUGUUGGGGUUCAGGGUGAUUACAUGAUUCCUCUUUUGUUGAAGAGGAGCAUGGGCGAAAUUAGUUAGGGGAGCACAACCAUCGAUGUCGAAUGAGUAAUGGAGCUUCGAUGGGCUCGGGGAUUAGUCCAGGCACAGAAGAGUUGGCACCAUACGGACUCUGGUCAUUGACCCGAAUAUCAAUUGGGUCAAGCGCGGGUUCGCGGCGGACUCAGCUAUGACGGUUGUAGGAUAGCUAGAUGCCUCGCCGUCUCAUUAUUGGUGUGAGAGAAUCGAUUUACGAGAUUCCCACUGUCGGUAUCUACUAAACAACGAAGGCGUAAUCAAGGAUGUGGGCUUGGCGGAAUUAGUGGGAAGGAGGGCCCUGCUGAGCUUGGCUCUAACGUGACUUUGUAG